rnacentral:rRNA from 1 species
CCUACGGGAGGCAGCAGUGGGGAAUAUUGGGCAAUGGGCGCAAGUCUGACCCAGCAACGCCGCGUGAAGGAAGAAGGCUUUCGGGUUGUAAACUUCUUUUCUCAGGGACGAAGCAAGUGACGGUACCGGAGGAAUAAGCCACGGCUAACUACGUGCCAGCAGCCGCGGUAAUACGUAGGUGGCAAGCGUUAUCCGGAUUUACUGGGUGUAAAGGGCGUGUAGGCGGGAAAGCAAGUCAGAUGUGAAAACCAUGGGCUCAACCUGUGGGCUGCAUUUGAAACUGUUUUUCUUGAGUACAGGAGAGGCAGACGGAAUUCCUAGUGUAGCGGUGAAAUGCGUAGAUAUUAGGAGGAACACCAGUGGCGAAGGCGGUCUGCUGGACAGCAACUGACGCUGAGGCGCGAAAGCGUGGGGAGCAAACAGGAUUAGAUACCCGUGUAGUC